AUGCUUGAACAGGUACGGUGAUUAGUUCCGGCCUGGAAAAUGGGUCUUAUUCAGAGGGUGGGAUGCUUUGUUUUGGUGCAAUCCGUCAUUGCGGCGAGACCGGUUCACCACCUCAUGAUCUCAGACAUGCCGGAGUGGGUUUUCGAGGAUAUCAACAAGUGGAUGAGGUCGUUCUUUUGGGCAGGGAAAGACAAGAUCAACGGUGGUCAAUGCCUAGUGGCGUGGGAUACUAUAUGCAGGCCCAAGCAUUUUGGCGGAUUGGGCGUUAAGAAUCUGAAAGUGCAAGCGCUCGCACUCUGAGUCAGAUGGGAGUGGCUGAAAAGGACGGACCCGCAGCGACCUUGGCAAGGAUUACCUAUGAUGGAGGAUACUGAUGCACGGGAAGUUUUUGACACACUGGUAAACAUCAAGGUUGGGAAGGGUUAG
rnacentral:rRNA from 1 species